rnacentral:rRNA from 1 species
AUUGAACGCUGGCGGCAGGCCUAACACAUGCAAGUCGAGCGAGCGGCGGACGGGUGAGUAAUGUCUGGGAAACUGCCUGAUGGAGGGGGAUAACUACUGGAAACGGUAGCUAAUACCGCAUACCAUCAGAUGUGCCCAGAUGGGAUUAGCUAGUAGGUGGGGUAAUGGCUCACCUAGGCGACGAUCCCUAGCUGGUCUGAGAGGAUGACCAGCAACACUGGAAAUGGGACACAGUCCAGACUCCUACGGGAGGCAGCAGGGGGGAAUAUUGCACAAUGGGGGCAAACCUGGUGGAGCCAUGCCGGGGGUGUGAAGGAGGCCUUCGGGUUGUAAAACACUUUCAGCGAGGGGGCGUUACUCGCAGAAGGAGCCCCGGGUAACUCCGUGCCAGCAGGCGCGGUAAUUC